UCUCAGUUUUAGUUUCAUACCCAAACAUUGCUUCCCUACCUUCGUACUUCAAAUAUUUGUUUCAGUUUGUUCUAUUUCUUUAUUUUUUUUUUUUUUUCUAUUUCUUCAAAAUAUACUUCAUACUACUUUGAUAAUUGUUCGAUUUUUGCCCUAUUUUUGUGAUAUGUUUCUCCAAUUUAUGCUUCAUGUUGUGCGAUAUUUGCCCUAAUUGCUAAAAUGUUUACGUUUGCUCGAUUGUUUUCAGUUAAAUUCUUUUAGAUUUAACUAUGUUUCUUGAUGGAUUUUGUCUCCUUUGUCAUGUAGAAUGUAUGGCCCUAACCUUUUUACCUUAAUAAUCAUAUAUCUUGUGGAUGUAUAGUUUAGUUUUUCAAAAAUAUGAUAAUCAACAACUGGUAUUUGCUAAACCAUCAAAGUUAUACAUUUGACAGAAGUUUUUAGGAAACAAUUAUUUAGUUGUUGUUAUACUUGCUUUAAUUUAUAGUGGGCUUCAAUGGGGGAGAUGAUUGUUUUAAAAAAGAGGACUUUGCUUCUAAUGUUGUUUGGAGAUGCGCCUGACCUCUUGAACUACAAUAAGUGAAUUUAGUACCUUAUUAAUUGCUUAAACUUAGAUGAUAUCAUCUAUCUUGGUCAAUAAAAUACCAGGGUGUGUACUUUUGUAGUAAAAACACGAACUGAUUUUGUGCUUAUCCAUAAAGUCUAAAGUAUGAUCUUGUUUCUUUCACACUGUUGAUGACUUCUGGGUGAAAUGGGCUUCAGCAGUUCCGGGGCUGCCGUCGCUACAACACCAAAUUGACUAAAAGUGUUGUUUUUGUCCUGAUUAAGAUAUUAUCAAAGGCAAACAUUUAUACAAUAAUGGAAGUGGUUAGUCCGGAAAUUUCUGUUACACGCAUGGAUUUAUCUUUUGUUCGAAAGGCUUUUCAACUCACGUUGUUAUACACGAGGCGUCAUCCUUUUUGAGUGACCCACUAUCCAUAAAGCUACAUGGAUUCUAUAGUCAUUACUUGAAGUUGCUCAAAAGCCGAGUCCGAGUGGUGAAAAAGGAUGGGAUAUAUAGAGCUUCAUUCUCAGCAGCAACAUCCAUAGCAAAACGGGGAUGAUGAGAAUUCAUCUAUGCUUAGUGUGGUUUUAUAGGUUCCGUGAACUUAUAUCCAAUAAUACGUCUUAGAAUACAGUUAACGGGAACUUGUUUUGGAACAAAUCUAAAAUUGUGUUGUUUGUUAACUUGAAUAGGAACAAUAUCUGUUAUGGAAAGGAAACGAAACUAACUCAUUGAAGUUUCAAGCAAAGAAAACAUUCAUGAAUUUGUAAA